ensembl:lncRNA
CACCUCAGAUACAACACUGCUCAUCACACAUUUCAGUUGGGUAAACGGCAAAGUGUUAGCAUCAUCGUGCCAGCGAACAGGUUCCUGCCUGUUGUAAGGCUGUUGUAAUGUUCCCGAGGUAUCGAACACAAGGGGAUUUGUUUGUCUCAAGAGACUCACUUCUGUAAACUGAAGGAGAACCUUGUUUGUAACCGUUAAGCACAGAAUGGGUUCAGCAGAGCCAGAAACAAAACAGCUCUCUCUGGGCACAGAAAUGCAGGUCCCUCCCUGUUAAUUCAAGCCCUAGGUGCCAAUCUAGAGGCGCAGUUCAGUGCUGCAGCCGCCUUUCCCUUUGAGAUAUAUUCCAACAGACUGACACAGUCAAGUGGCAGCAGGGGCAGUGAUGUGAACACACUGUUCCUCAGUCUCUCACUCCCAACGAGCAUCUGUUAGUUCUCCACAGCAGAAGCCUUGUUUCUCACCCCAGUUAAAAACUAGAUUCUCCGAUACUAUUACAAACCUCCCCCUUACAAUUCCUUCAGGGUUCUUGGGUUGCACCUGAUUAGUUCCAGGCAGCAAGUCCAGGACGUUUUAUAGCUGGCAUAACAGCUUCUGUUAUUGAGUUUCAAACUCUUAACACUACAUGCAAGCCUAUUCCUCCCUGUUCCUUCAUCUGUAAGAGAAUUUACAAGCCAUAAAACAUCUUCAGAACUCUAGAUCUAGAUUUCAGGAGGCUUUCCUCAAUAUUUUUAGGCACAGGAAAAAAUAAUUACUUCUGUAGCUCCAGAAUUGACAUGACAUCUUUCUGCUUGCAAGGCAACAGCAUGGCAGAGUCCAGACUGAUGAUUCCCAAACCUUGUAACAAACUCAUAACUUCACUUGCUGCCUGAAACAGUGAAAAGACAAGACAUUUAAUUUAGUGAACUCCACUGCUGAGCCAGUAGCCAAAAGCACCGACAAGUCCUUGGGGAAAGUAAGCCAGUCAAACAAAUACCAACCUCACUGCUGGCUUUGUCAUUACCUGGGGAAAAAACUCCUGACAGCGCCAGCUGAGCUGGCGGUUAGACAAGACUCGCCUAGAGCAAGCUCCCGUGCAAACAAUGACUGAUUGCAGGACUGCUGCACUGCUCCUGAGAAACAGCCAGCCCUGGGGAGAGGGGUACCCCAGCAGGGCACAGCCUCUAACCCCCGCUCACCCACCACUGCUGACCUGUUUCCCUAUCACUUGAGUUAGGGUCAGCACUCACACAAUGGUCCUGGCAGGAGAGCAUGGCCAAAGAGACCACUGAGCCCUGGGGUCCUGCCCCCAAAGGGCAUGGCCAGGGUCACCUACACCACUUGCCAAAUUCCCAAAAGCAGAAAAGAGACCAUUUAUCUUCAGAAUUAGGACACACAUCUGUCAAUGAAAAUGAUUUAUCAGCAAAACCGAGUCUCUCUGGAUGUCUGAUCUGUCAUUCCUUUGAAGACUUGAUGAAUCUAGAGCUAACCCAAAGCAACCACCGCAGCCCGCUGGCAGCAGAGCAGCACGCACUAACAAGGUCCCUCUUGCUCUCACAAGACACACGCAUGUCCCUUUGUGGCUACUGGGUGUCAGGCUGAACUCCGCAACUCCACUGUUGUUAGCACACAGCCACUACGCUUGGCAACCAAAACAACAACGCAGUUACAACAGGGUGAUAAUCGCUCACCUUUUAAGUGAUGCCUUACGCCGUUAAGGGAACGGUGCCAGCGACCCGCCCCUUCAGUUCCUCAGCUUAUAGUUAUUGUUUUGUGCUGCCAGAAUUGGAUUUAUAAUCAUAGCAUGGUUUGGGUUGGAAGGGACCUUAAAUAUCAUCCAGCUCCAACCCCUCUGCCGCUGAACAGCAGAGAGCAGUUCUAACCCCUGUGAGAGAAACGGGGAACCGCUCUGCUGCUCGGGCGCGCACAUGCUCUGCCGAAGGAGCUGCCUCGGGAGGCAGCGGCAGCAGCUCUGAGGCCGAGUGCAUCGCUCCCCGGGCCGCCAGCCACCGCCCUGCCGCUGCCGGAGCGCCCGGCGGCCCAAGCUACCGCUGCGGCACGGACGGAACCGCUCACAAGCCACAGAGCCACCGGCAGCACCGCCCCCGCCGCCGGGCACCCGCCGAGAGGGGCACCCGCCGAGAGGGGCACCCGCCGCAGGGCGCCCCGCAUCCCCACCGCCGCGCCCCAGCGCCCCGGGCCGCGCAGAAAGGCCGAGC